GGCCCGGAGCGCAGCCCAGCUGUCAAGGGAACGGGUGUGGAAGGAGGCGGGGCAAAGGUCCACGGGACCGACGCGAUGCGCAGCGCAGGGCUGGAAGCGCAGUCCUCUGUCACCUUGAGCUCCGAGGCUGCAUUCCCCGUGGUAUCCAAUUCAGCCUCUCCUGCUUCCUGAGUUCUCUGCAGUGAUGCAAAAUCAGAUAAGGAAACGCACCUCGUCUAGGAAGCAAGGGGAAAUAUGACAAAGCACACAGAAACUAGAAAUAAAAGUCAAAAAUCUACACCAUCGAACCCAAAUAAUCUUCUUCAGUUUUAAUGAUGGACCCAAACCAAAACAGUUCUCACGUUCACAUGUUAGAAACUAACUCCAUCUGCAUCACUUACGAUAGGCUGUAGUAAACUGAACCAAAUAAGAAAAAUCCCAGCAGCAAACUUGCUGACAAAACUUUAGCCGAUUGCCAGGGUAGUCCGGUACAGGAACGUCAAAUGAAACCAAUGUGCUGUAAAUAAACCUUUAUUGUAUUUUGUGA